AAGAGCAGCAGGGUGAUCCUAGUCCAGUCGGUCUUGUCUGCCAUACCGGUGCACUCCAUGCUCGCUAUGGGAUUGCCAGCAAAAACGAUCAAGGCACUAGUGAAAAUCUGCAGAAGCUUCCUAUGGUCUGGGAAAGAGGAUGCGGGUGGAGGAAAGUGCGCGGUAGCAUGGGACAUCCUAUGCCGGCCUAGAUGGGCAGGUGGACUUGGAGUGACUAACCUCAAGUGGAUGAAUAUUGCACUCCAAGCGAAGUAG
rnacentral:rRNA from 1 species